GUAUAUGUGAUGUUCACUUAGUUGAAUAUGUUAGUUGAAACUGGAGAUGGGUAACCCUAGUUCCUUCACUCUCUUGUUAUUAUUGUUGUUGGUUUUAGCUGCUUCUUUAUAUGCCAUUCAUGGAAUAUGGCUACAUGGAGAUAAGAGAGGAAGGGUUCUUGGUGAGAGGGUGGGGAAUUGUCCUCCGACUCCGGCAUCGUCGCGCCAUUAUUUUCCACCUAGAACACCAUAUCCAAGCUAGGGUUUUUAGCUUGCAUGGAGCAAUUGAAGUGAAUGUUUAAUUAGAAUGCUUAAUUUAAAUCUCUUCAAUUUGCUAUUAUAUGUAUAGCUUUACAAUAAACUUGCUUUUGGUUUGUAAUACUUUUGGAUAUGUUAAUUAUCUGUGAGUUAUAUACUCUAAUAUGUAUCAUUUGUAAAUGCAUUUUCAUAAUAAUUAAUUGAUAUAUCCUCA